rnacentral:rRNA from 1 species
AUUGAACGCUGGCGGCAUGCCUUACACAUGCAAGUCGAACGGUAACAGGUCUUCGGAUGCUGACGAGUGGCGAACGGGUGAGUAAUACAUCGGAACGUGCCCGAUCGUGGGGGAUAACGGAGCGAAAGCUUUGCUAAUACCGCAUACGAUCUACGGAUGAAAGCAGGGGACCGCAAGGCCUUGCGCGGACGGAGCGGCCGAUGGCAGAUUAGGUAGUUGGUGGGAUAAAAGCUUACCAAGCCGACGAUCUGUAGCUGGUCUGAGAGGACGACCAGCCACACUGGGACUGAGAUACGGACCAGACUCCUACGGGAGGCAGCAGUGAGGAAUUUUGGUCAGUGGACGGAAGUCUGAACCAGCCAAAGUCGCGUGAAGGAAGGCGGCCCUAAAGGGUUGUAAAACUUUCUUUUGUAAAGGGAAUAAAGUGCGUUACGUGUAGUGCAUUGCAAGUACCUUAACGAAUAAGGAUCGGCUAAACUCCGUG